rnacentral:lncRNA from 1 species
CACCGGCGAUUCCACCCUUAAAGCCAAACCCAUUUCGCCCCACCUCUCAACCAUUCCUUUAACAACUUUAAUUUUUGUUUAAUUUGAUUUGUUGAAAAUGUGUUGCUUUUGGAAAUAUUUGAAGUUUACAGGGAAGGUUUGGAGUCUAUCAUUGUGAGCUUUAGAGCCAUGGAUAUGUCAAGUAGAUGAUCGAUUUCAAGUUAUUGCUGCUGUUACACUGUGAUUCUGCUACAACCAAUAUCGUGAUUACGACGACUUUCCGAUGCACCGGUGUUAGAGCUGACAUCAAGUU